GGUUGUGGCUUAGUGGUAGAGCGUUCACCUAGCAUGUGAAAGGCCCCAGGUUCGAUCCUCAGCAGCACA
rnacentral:tRNA from 1 species